CAUUGUCUUGCUCCAAUUUAUAGGAGGGAGAGGAGGUUCUUUGAAAUAUGUAUGCCUGGCGUGAGAUUAAGAAACAACGGUUCAAAUGUUGGUCCGACCAGUUUAUUACAAAUGUUAAUAAGGGAGAUGGGGAAAGGGGAGGACGGACACUAUUAAGGAUUGGGGUGAUGGGGAAGGGAAGGCGAGCGAUAGAAAAGAUAGAAAGAGGCAAGAAUUGCGUAAAGCGGGGAUAGUCACCACCAGGAUCCGGCAGCAGUCCCGUUGCACGAUGUUCCGACGGUCCGAGGCCGAAGGGCAGGAGCAGCGAGGCCGGUCUUGGGCAACGAGAGGGUGCAGGUCAGGGAGGAAGCAGCAGGUCUCAGGUAGCAGGCCCAGGGAAGUCCGUCAGCAAACGGUCCGUAGAGAAGGAUCUGAAGGCAGAAAGCUCGUGUCGUGGUGAGAGAUCGUGAGAGAUCAGCCCCCGUGUUGCGGUGAGAGAUCAGCCUCCACCGUUGCGGUGAAGGAUCAGAUGGCAGAGAACCCCUCAAGUCUGUCGUGGUGAGAGAUAAGCCUCUACAUCACCGUGGUUGUUGGAACCUCUUUUAUCCUCCAUUUUCUCCUGCCUACGUGACAUUCCUGGGUGCUUGAGCAAGAGUCAUGUGCAUACCUCCUGAGAUGGCCAUUUUCCUCGAGAUAAGUCCACACAAAAAGACCAUUUCCCAGCCAUUAGCAGCAGCUUAUCUCUCUCUCUCUCGUUGCCCCUGGCCUUGUCCAUCUGUGCUCCUUAGGGGAUUUCACAAUCCUUAGCCAGGACCUGUCCAUCAGUGUCCUCAAGACAAAAGAUUUCU
ensembl:lncRNA